AGUGAACGCUGGCGGUAGGCCUAACACAUGCAAGUCGAGCGGCAGCACAGUGAGAGCUUGCUCUUACGGGUGGCGACUGGCGGAUGGGUGAGAAAUACAUCGGAAGCUACUUUUUCUUGGGGGAUAACGUAGGGACUCUUACGCUAAUAGCGCAUACGACCAACGGGUGGAAGCAGCGGAUCUUCGGACCUUGCAUGAUUCUAUGAGACGAUGUCGGAUUAGCUAGUUGGAGGGGUAAAGGCCCACCAAGGCGACGAUCCGUAGCUGGUCUGAGAGGAUGAUCAGCCACACUGGAACUGAGACACGGUCCAGACUCCUACGGGAGGCAGCAGUGGGGAAUAUUGGACAAUGGGCGCAAGCCUGAUCCAGCCAUGCCGCGUGUGUGAAGAAGGCCUUCGGAUUGUAAAGCACUUUUAUUUGGGAAGAAAAGCAGCAGGUUAAUACCCCGCUGUUCUGACGGUACCCAAAGAAUAAGCACCGGCUAACUUCGUG
rnacentral:rRNA from 1 species